CAGGCAGACUGGAGUGUGGAUCCUGA
rnacentral:piRNA from 1 species